GAGAGAGAGAUAGAAAGAGAUAUCUGGAGUUAGAGAGAGAAAAGAGGAGCUACAACAGGAGAGAGAGAACGGUGAUGCCAUCUGUUAGGGUUCGGGCCGUGAAACCGACUUUUCAUUUUUUCUGGUCUGGUGAAUCAGUUGGUGAAUACGGGGAAAGGAAAGGGCACAAGUCAGUCUUCUUUUCACAUGGGCGAAUCGAUGGAACGUCACACUUUUCAGGAACGCCUUUGGAAAAUAACCACAGCCGCUCAACUUUGUAGAAGAGUUUCUUUUGCUUCAUGGUUAAGACUCCAACAACAAACUUUAAUGUAGAAGCAAAAGGAAGUCUCUCACGAUACGGCAGAAGCCGUCACGCAGUUUGGCCACAUGAUACAGGUGAAACGUAAGAGAGCAGAGCCAAACUGCAUUGAAAAAGAAUCUACAGUUGGGAUUCAAGGAUAUGCAAUGAGAUUCAUGAGAUCUCCAGUUUAGACCACCUUGGGUGGCCUCUAUAUUCUCCAAUAAUUGUUUCCUCCGUUCAGUUUUUCAUUUUUGUUAUUAGUUCUAGAUUUGGUUGUGUUGAUGAUGGUUGGACUUAAAGUGAAAGAGAAGGUGCAUUGUGUGAUUUAGACAUGGCCCCACUAAU